rnacentral:rRNA from 1 species
UCCUACGGGAGGCAGCAGCCGAGAAUAUUCGACAAUGGGCGAAAGCCUGAUCGAGCGACGCCGCGUGCAGGAGGAAGUUCUUCGGGACGUAAACUGCUUUUAUAGGGGAGGAACGCAAGUGACUGUACCCUAUGAAUAAGGACUUGCUAAUCUCGUGCCAGCAGCCGCGGUAAU